GUGCUUGCUUUGGCAGCACAUAUACUAAAAUUGGAUGGAUACAGAGAAGUUAGCAUGGACCCUGCAUAAGGAUGACAUGCCAAUUUGUGAAGUGUUUCAUAUUUUU
ensembl:snRNA U6 U6 spliceosomal RNA